GGGGAAAGGCAGUCGCAGGAGAGGUUCUCCCUUUUUCCUUCUUGAAGCCGUGUCUCCUCUAUGCAACUGAGGCCAGCACAGAUGGAGGGGAAGAGCACCUGUCCCCAGCAUAGUGUUGGGAUGAGACGUGCCUCAGGAAGGUGUCCCUCACCCAUGGCAUUCCCCCCUCCCUGCCUCUCCCCAUGGAGACCAACCUCCCCUUUCAACCAAGGAGCCAUCACCACUGAGAGCACACACUCCUCUUAACAAACACCCAUCCAGAUGGCCCAAAACAAGGAGGUUUUUGAGCCUUCAAGACCGUUUUACUGGUCUGCAUUUUUUUGGAUCAUUUUCUAAAGGAGAUCAAGGCCAGCAUUCCUCGCUGCCAUGGGACUGCGUAUUGAAGAAAUGUCAUUGGAUACUGCACUAAAGCUGUGGCUGCUCUUUCUGCUUCCUACAUUCAUUUUCCACUGUGGAGUUGAGAGAGACACUUGUGGAAGUCUAGCUGCGUUCUUCUAGUCACCUGAGACCUCUGAUAUUUGUCAUCAUUAGCACAGUAGAAAACCUGAAUAAAGUUGGCACAAAGGAAAAUCUUUAUUCUGAGAUCGGCACCCCAGCUAACCUACCUAAUUUACUGCAUCUGGCUUGCCUACAAAAACACAAGACAAAGACAUUUCCAGCAUUUCAGUAACAAACUCAUCCAAAAAGCACCGGCUAGCUCUUACUUUAUGAGACAUUAGCUUGUCCAUGACUAUUCCAACACACCCUAUCAUUCCAACAGUUUUUCAAGCCUGGUCAACACCCCUGAUUCCCAAAUGACUUCUGCUUUAAUCCUCUUAAAGCAGGAAUGCUGGCUUUAUUUCUUGGCUCCAGUCACAGACUCUGUGGUUUUAGGGAUAUUUGAGUACCAAUAUUGGUUUUCUCUUUAACUGUUGAUGCUUUCCAAAGACUGUAUAUGCAGUUAAACUGCCAUUAAAUGCC
ensembl:lncRNA